CCUACGGGAGGCAGCAGUGAGGAAUAUUGGUCAAUGGGCGGAAGCCUGAACCAGCCAAGUCGCGUGAGGGAAUAAGGCCCUACGGGUCGUAAACCUCUUUUGCCGGGGAGCAAGGGCGGGGACGCGUCCCGGCCCGGAGAGUACCCGGAGAAAAAGCAUCGGCUAACUCCGUGCCAGCACCCGCGGUAAUACGGGGGAUGCGAGCGUUAUCGGGAUUUAUUGGGGUUACGGGGGGCGUAGGGGGGCUUUUAAGUCAGCGGUAAAAAUUCGGGGCUCAACCCAGGUCGGCCGUUGAAACUGGGGGCCUUGAGUGGGCGAGAGGAAGGCGGAAUGCGUGGUGUAGCGGUGAAAUGCAUAGAUAUCACGCAGAACCCCGAUUGCGAAGGCAGCCUUCCGGCGCCCUACUGACGCUGAGGCACGAAAGUGCGGGGAUCGAACAGGAUUAGAUACCCGUGUAGUC
rnacentral:rRNA from 1 species